rfam:Dipodomys ordii contig_47315, whole genome shotgun sequence.
UGGCUCAGUGGUAGAGUGCUUGCCUUGCAUGCAUGAGGUCCUGGGUUCGAUUCCUCAG